GUGUUGUCCUGCUAUGUGUAGGAGGGGUGGGUGCGAUGGGACCCGAUGAGAGUGUUACUGCCAUAGGAUGGCGAGAAGUUGGGUCGUGAACGGCUGUGAGAGGAGAGAGUGCGUGAGCGCGUCAGCACCAAAGUUAAAUACAAAAGCCUUUUACGCAGUGGCGAGGGGAGUUUCCUUUGUUCUAGUCAAAGGCUUGAAAGAGAUCGGAGAGAAUUAACCCUCAAACACCACUCCCCACAUUCCUGGAGGGGUUGCGAUCUGGGGUUGCAGGUGAUAACCGUUUCUAUGCCCCGGGUAAAUAUAUGAAGAAUGUUGGACUCAGGAUAGCCGAUCAAAAAUGGAAUAUAUUCGAACAUGAUUCCAUUGCCCCAUUUCCAACUAUUUUUGGAAAUAGAAUCUGGGAUAUUCGUAACUUGAAAAAUGGAAAAUAUUAUUUGUCAGUAAAACUUUAAUGAGCUGGAUUCAGGAUGAAUAUGAGAUUGAUAUCGAAUGACGUCAGCAUUAAGGGACAGAUGAUUGGGUGCUUCCAGCCAAUUGCAAUGGUACUCCGAAACUAAACUUCCCAUCCUUGACUGACAUACUGGAGUAGAACAGCUCGUGUUGGACCUCAUCUUGGAAAUGCACCGAAACCUGACAGGUUUUGGAAUAACAUACCGGGAUUUAAAAGUAAACAUGCUGGGAAUUAAAUAACAUGCUGGAAUAAUUCAUUACCACACAGUGCCUCAAAAUGGAUUUUGUGUACUGGAGGGCUGGAUUAAUGUACUUCAUGUAACACACUGGAAUAAUGUGCUGGCACAUGUCGUGUUUUGGGAAGCUGUAACAGGAUGCAACACCUAAUAUUGGAAAUCCACUCAAAUAUAAUAAUCUGGAAUAAAAUACUGGAAGAUGGAUUGGAACAUAACAUUCUACAUUGGAAUGUGGCCCUGUAUCAUAAUUACGUGUGGAAUACAAUAUUGCAAACUGGAAUACUCUACUGGAGUAUGUCAUGUUUUGGAGUAACAUAUGGGAAAAUAACACCUUACUUGGAAAAUGAACUGGAACAGCCCCUACUGGAGUAAUAUCCUGGAAUACAAUGCCUGGCAAUGGGUUACUGCACUGGAAUAUAAUACUUGAUGUAGGAAUAAUGCUCUGGAACAAAACAUAUUGUGUGGAAUACAAUGGCUUUCUGUGGUGUAAUUAUAAUACCUUCUGUUGGAAUACCUUAUUGGAAUACAAUAUCAUGUGCUGAAAUAAUGUACUGGGUUACCUCUUUUCGGAAUAAUGCACAGGAUUGCAUCACCUACCUUGCAUUUGAAUAAUGCACUGGAAUACAGUAUAUUACAUUGGAAUAUUGGGACGUGUUCUAUUGGAAUGAUGUACAGAAUUGCAAACCUUACAGAUGUAGAAUGGACUGGAACCCAGUGCUUUCAGUCAGAAUGAUGCACUGGAGUGCAAUCUUGGUGAUGGAUAGUUUGCUGGAAUUGAAUGCAUUAUGUCAUAGCAGCAUACUUGAACACGUCGUAGAAAAUGUGUGAAGUACUCAAGAUGAGACAGCAUCAAACAAGUUGCAGAGAUGGGUGAGAGAAUGCAAAGGAAAGUCUGUGAUCACAUGGAAACCAAGAGCCCAGUGACACACAUUGUGCUAGUUUUGAGAGAUGGCAAAGGCUCGUUAAACGCAGAUUAACAAUCUGUAUGAGAUGAAAAUAGACCAUAAUGAAUGCAAAUUAAUGUUGGAGCUCAAGAUGCAUAACACUGCAGCUGAAUUAAAAUAAGUUAUCAAAAAAGUGUUGGAUUACCAACAGGUAAGUUAACAUCUGUGGGGAAAGGUAGGAUGAAUUAUUUUGUUUUGUGUUAACCAGAUAGUUCUAGUACAGAUUAGAAAAUUGGCUGUGCAAAAUUGUUGAAUUCAAUAUUGAAUUCUGAGGCCUAUAAAUUUUCUAGACUCUUGAACCUAUAUUGAGCUUUGUUGAACCAUAUAAGAAAGCAAAGGUCAGAGUGGGGAGGAGGUGGAGAACUAAACUGACAGAGUUGAAGCUUAGCAUGACCCUUGUAGACUAAGCAAUGUUGUUUGUCUGCCCCAUGCAGAACAGAGCAUUCUGAGAACGCUGAAUUCAGCACUCAGAACUGCUUUAAGUACAAGUACAUCCUGAUGGAGUAUUUCAAUCCUUCAUGGUGAGAAGGGAAGAGAUAGAAGGACAGUUAUUGCAGCUCCUACAGGCGAAUGGAAAAAUGUUAUGAGAAGUGGAUAUCGAAAAGUGAAUCAAAAAGUCAGAGAAGGAAUGAACCAUCUGUUAUUUCCAGUUACUGUUCACUUUAAAUCUCCAUCUUUGCCAAGUGCAUUAUUUCAACAGAGCCCAAGAUGAGAUCAAGUUACAGAAUCUUGUUUUCUGACCAGGCAUACUGUGGCUCUCAGAGCAGCAGUUUCAGAUAAGCAACCUUUCCAAUAUGUAUAAGAAUGGGAAGAUUCUUUUAAGAGGCCCCCUCUGCAGCCUUGCAUUAUCUAUCUCCACAGUUACUCACUGAACUAAUGAGUGUUUUGUUUUAGGUCUUUUGCAGUUGCAGUGUUUUGUAUUUCUUAGUUCCAUCAUUUCCCUUUUUUCAUUGUUCUGCUUUUUUUUUACCUCCAAUGGACGGAAUUGUGAUUAACAGGCCUUCGAUGCCAUUUGUGUCUCACAAAACAGAAAGCUUUGUUCUCUCCACCCAUCUUUCUCUCCUCGUGCCUGGUUUCUAACUUUUAGUUCUGAUAAAGGUUUAUUGACUUGAAAAGUCACUUUUGCUUCUGCAGGUAUAGCUGCUGCCUAACCUGUUAAACAUUUCUAGCAUUUUCUGAUUUGCUUUAUGCCUUUUCAUCUUAAUUUAAAUUUGGAAUAAUGUAUUUUAAAUGUCUUGCAAUAAUAGCUUGAACAUGACACUUCACCUUUUAUUUAUAUACUAGAAAACAAUAUUCUUGUCAGGUAUACUCUAAAUUGAUGUCAUUCUUGGAUUAAUAAUCUAGAAUACAGCUUUGGUGUAUAUAUACUGGAACAAGAUACCACACUCUGUGGUUUGAUGGUCCCAAUUAAACCUUAUUGUAAUAUCCUUAAGAUGCCAGGCAGUUAAACUAAUUUAAUAUCCAUACUUUCUUUACAGGGUUAAAGAUAGACCUCCAUGAGAUAAAAAAGGUUGGGAACCCUUGUUUAAACACUUGUUUAAUAGUAGAUUUGAAUUUGUGAAACAAUUAUUCUCAUUUCUCAUCAAUGUAUAAUCUACAAGCACUGAAAGUAAAGCAAUGAUUUUGCAAUGAGCUAGGAAUAAUUUAGAAUAUUGUAAACUCUAAAUUUUCAUGGAAUUAAAGAGAUUCUCCAUACA